GGCGGCUUCUCGAUGGGUUCAGCUCCCUGAACCGUGAAAUUAGUUACCUGCGUUGUCCACCAAUAGCGUUGAGUUGCCAUGCCUGUAUAUCGUAAUCCGUAAUUCUUGUAUUCAGUGCGUCUAAUGCAACGAGUGUGUGUUUCAUUGUAAUUUUCAGUGUUUCUAAAAUGUGACUUGAGUACCAUUUCUUUCAUUUUUACAAAUUGCAGUAUUAUAUAAGAACUAUUAUUAUUAUUGUGUGGAGACAGAAUGGAAGUUCGUAUGGAAGAGCAAAAUGUGGGUGCCUUUGGACCCUUGGAAUUUUCCCAUCCUUCAGAAAAUGUGUACAGUUACUCCUUCAGAAGUGAAGUGGCGCAUUGUCUCUUUUGCUCAGACAUGUUCAAGCUACCAGAAGAGAGAACAUAUUUUUCAACUCACUUGUUUGUACAUCAUCAGUUUGAGAUAGCAGAUAUGGAAAUGAUUGCCAACAUGAGCAAGUACUGCAACUAUUGGAGGUCGCGAUUUCUUGCAGAGCCACCCAACAAGAUAUGUUCAAGGAUGUUAAUUGAUGCCAAAGGUGAUGGAACAUGUGUGAACAUUCUUGUGCUUGGAAAAUUUAUACCUGAAGACAAGAAGCUGAGAGAAGAUUUGCAUAAUAAACAAAUGAUGUGGGUUUUAACACAAAAGAUCAAUGAGAGGGAGGACAAAAAUUUUUCACGAAAAUGCUUGCUAUGUCGGCUGCAGUUCAAGGGAUGUCGUGCAGAUUAUCUGUCCCAUCUCUCUCGUUUGCACAACAUGCAACUCGGACAACCAGAAAAUCUUGUGUUUAUUGAUGAUUUAUUGAACUGUAUAGAAACAAGACUGGAAAGUUUGCAUUGCCUGUUUUGUAACAAGUUGUUCAAGAAUCAGACUGUUCUGAAAGAACACAUGAGGAAAAAGCAGCAUAAGAAAAUUAACCCUAAAGACACUGAAUUUGACAAAUUUUAUAUCAUAAAUUAUCUUGAAAUGGGGAAAAAUUGGCGUCAGGUGAAGAAUGAACCAGAUGAUGAUGAUGAUGAUGAUGAAUUAUCCAAUGCGGAAAAUUCUGACAGACGUGUCAGUGUUGGGAACUGGUCUGAUUGGGAGGAAGAUGAGGACAAGGUUGAGAAUCCAGUGGUGUGCCUGUUCUGUGAGAGAUCUUCGAGCUUUGAUGAGAUACAGAGUCAUAUGAAUAAUGCCCAUGGUUUUGACUUCACAAGAAUCUCUGUUGAUAUGGAUUUCUACCACCAGGUGAAACUGGUGAAUUAUGUCAGGAGACAGGUAUAUAUGGGCCAUUGCCCAUAUUGCGAUAAGAUUCUUCCAAAUAGACGAGAGUUACUUGAGCAUAUGUCUAUGGAAAGCCAUUUUAUUGUGCCACAGAUGCAGCUUUGGGACCAGCCAGAGUAUUUCUUUCCUACGUAUGAGAAUGACAGUUUUCUGUGUCAUCUGAAUGACCACCAAGAUGACAUGGCUGAACUGCAUCUGUCCAAGAAAAUGUAAGUUUUGCUGAAGUGUGUUUGGUAAGAGUACCCAGAAAAUUCAGGAGAUUAAUAAAUAAUUACAGUGAACAUAAGUGGUAUUUGUAAAUUUGUAAAUUAAAGGAAGAUGAUUUUCUUGGUAAAUUCUUCAUGUUUGUUAUAUGAGGUCUUAUCAGAACUUUUAUAGGGAAACGAAGUACACAACAUAUUUGGUAAAUGGUGUACAUCUCUACUUUAAUUGAAUAUCAGUUCUGUAAACAUUAAAUACACCAAAAACACAUAUAAGUAGCCCAGUAUGCUCGGUUAUAAGGCUUACCAUCUUCUGUAUACAAACCAUUCUGGCUUAUGUUAUUCAUAUGACUUUCUGUACAGCAUAAAUUAUUACACACUCAUAUAUUAAAAUGUCUUAAGAAUUACCCGUAUUUUUCGUCAAACUUAUGUACAGUAAGUGUAUCCUGCCAAUAUAGAGUGAAGUCUGAUAUAACUAGCAUAGCCAAAGCAAGAGAUCCAUUUUAACAAGAAUCUCACUACCAAUAUCCCACUUUUGAAGUCAGUUUGUCACAGUCUUAUCGACUAUAGACGGUUUGGAUUGGUAAUUGGAUUUAUUGAACUCUUACAACUACAAGUAGGGUUUAUGCUCUCACUGUUCUGCACCUUUCACAAAUCACUACAGGACACACAAAGUCUUCUCAGUCUGUUGCAGUCUUCAUCAACCAUUGCUUGGCAGCGGCUUUGAACAGUGGACAUUCGUCUUCCUCUGGGUCCCCAAACUGUCCCUGGCCUCAGCUACCAGCAGCCCACAACAGAAGCCCAGCAGUUAACUGACUCGCUGCUACUUCUAACUUGUCCUGCUUGUAACAUCUUGGCAUGGACUGCACAGAUAAUGCCCUUCCUUUGCUGCAGUGCAGUUGUUGCAUCUGUGUCUGUUGGGGUGACCACGUGAUCACUACAGAGCCAUUGCCUAGGAAUCGCUGUUUGCAGAGCCAUUACUUAGCAACGACUGUUGUAUGGUUUGUUAUUUAGCUGUUGUUGCCUAGCAGUGGGUCUGCAUGCCACAUCAUGAUGUAAGCAUAGUGAUAUUCUUCAGUUUCAGCAACAGAAUGCCAGAAUUUCUCUUGUAAUGAUUACUUCUUUCUCCUUUCUAGAUUCAUGUAAACACAUAUUACAUCAUGACAAACCCGUUCAGGAGACAAAUGCAUGCAACUGGCGCCAGUUGUCUCUUGUGUUGAUUCAUUAGGAGUGUUGCUGAAGAGGUACAGUAAAUGGAUCAGUAAGAACUUUCCUCCACAGCCCUCUCAGUACAUACGCAGAGGGAGGAGGACUGCCAUAUUGGAAGUUGCUGAAAGAGAAGAAGUAAACAUUUACUCAGUAUCUGCUCUCAUUACUGGAACGUUUUCAGUACCUCAUAAACUUCUAUGAGUGAAAGUGAAUAUUGUCAUAUCUAACCUAAGCAGACUUUGUAACUGAAUUAUUAAACCCUUCAGUUUAAGUGUG